rnacentral:rRNA from 1 species
UACGGGGGGAGCAAGCGUUGUUCGGAUUUACUGGGCGUAAAGGGCGCGUAGGCGGCGGGGUAAGUCGGGUGUGAAAUCUCAGAGCUCAACUCUGAAACUGCACUCGAUACUGCUCUGCUUGAGGACUGGAGAGGAGACUGGAAUUCACGGUGUAGCAGUGAAAUGCGUAGAUAUCGUGAGGAAGACCAGUGGCGAAGGCGGGUCUCUGGACAGUUCCUGACGCUGAGGCGCGAAGGCCAGGGGAGCAAACGGG